rnacentral:sRNA from 1 species
CUUUCGGAGUGGGCGAUCGCGACCGGC